rnacentral:lncRNA from 1 species
AGGCUUCUAGGUAACAAGUCACUUCACUUCUCUGGGCCUCUUAAACUUCUCAUAUGAAAAUAGACUAGAUGAACCUGGAGAGACAUUUUCUGCCUGAUGUGGAAAGUGAAAGUGAAGAAAUUAGCUGUAUUUCCUAACACUCAGGAGUCUUUUAUGCUGCUAAUAAAGACAUACCAGAGACUGGGUAAUUGAUAAAGAACAAGAGGUUUCAUAGACUCACAGUUCCACGUGGCUCGGGAGGCCUCACAAUCAUGGCAGAAGGCAAAGGAGGAGCAAAGUCAUGUCUUACAUGGCAGCAGGACAUUUUUAAAGAUUGGAAUGAUCUCGUUCUUGAAACCUAGGUACUCUAUGUUGAAGAUGCCUGGACUAACCUACUGAAGAUACGUGGUUUUACCAACAGCCAGCACCAAUAGGAAGAUAUGAAUGAAGCCAUCUGAGACCAGCCAUCUGGCAGCCAAACUGCCAACUGACUGCAAAUGCAUGAAUGAUCCCACUGACACCACGUAGAGCACAAAUGAGUUGCCUCCACUGAGCCCAGCCCAAAUUGUUAUCCUAUAAAAUCAUAAAAACAUAAACAGUUGUUUUAAGUCACUAAGUUUUGGAUAGUUUGUUAUACAACAAAAGCUAGCUGAAACAAAUGUAUUAGCUAGAGCAGCUGUGAAUGGCACUAUUUGCUUAGUUGAUUGGCUGAAAUUUGGACUCACUGGUAGGUUACAUUUAAUGGUGUUGAGUUGCCAGAAUUUCUCUGGAAUAAUGUAUAGGAAGGAUUCUAAUGGCCUAAGCCAUUAGAAUCUCUAAGGAGAUAGAAAUAAAGGAGUGAUUUAUUAUAUGUAACUGUGCCUCUUCCCUCACCACACUUGGUCCUGAAAGAGCCUAAGGAAUAGUUUCUUCUCUAAAGCAUUGAAAAAUGCUUUAAUGGGAGAAGCCCCAGCACCCUUGAACAUGUUCAGGCAGCUGCUUUCUAUAGGCCAAGGAUGUGGUGGGAAAAUCUGCCUGAUCUCAAUGUAGAUGAUGAGAUCCCAGAGUAGCGAUCAGCAUUUUUUACCAGCAGGAAUAAUCUUUGGUGGUGGUUGGCUCUAAGAAUUAAAUAGAUGUGGGCCGGGCGUGGUGGCUCAUGCUUGAAAUCCCA